AGUGAACGCUGGCGGUAGGCCUAACACAUGCAAGUCGAACGGCAGCACAGGAGAGCUUGCUCUCUGGGUGGCGAGUGGCGGACGGGUGAGGAAUGCAUCGGAAUCUACUCUUUCGUGGGGGAUAACGUAGGGAAACUUACGCUAAUACCGCAUACGACCUACGGGUGAAAGCCGGGGACCUUCGGGCCUGGCGCGAAAGAAUGAGCCGAUGCCCGAUUAGCUAGUUGGCGGGGUAAGAGCCCACCAAGGCGACAAUCGGUAGCUGGUCUGAGAGGAUGAUCAGCCACACUGGAACUGAGACACGGUCCAGACUCCUACGGGAGGCAGCAGUGGGGAAUAUUGGACAAUGGGCGCAAGCCUGAUCCAGCCAUACCGCGUGGGUGAAGAAGGCCUUCGGGUUGUAAAGCCCUUUUGUUGGGAAAGAAAAGCAGUCGGUUAAUACCCGAUUGUUCUGACGGUACCCAAAGAAUAAGCACC
rnacentral:rRNA from 1 species